AGCGAACGCUGGCGGCAGGCCUAACACAUGCAAGUCGAACGAACUCUUCGGAGUUAGUGGCGGACGGGUGAGUAACACGUGGGAACGUGCCUUUUGGUUCGGAAUACCUCAGGGAAACUUGUGCUAAUACCGAAUGUGCCCUUCGGGGGAAAGAUUUAUCGCCAUUAGAGCGGCCCGCGUCUGAUUAGCUAGUUGGUGAGGUAACGGCUCACCAAGGCGACGAUCAGUAGCUGGUCUGAGAGGAUGACCAGCCACACUGGGACUGAGACACGGCCCAGACUCCUACGGGAGGGAGCAGUGGGGAAUCUUGCGCAAUGGGCGAAAGCCUGACGCAGCCAUGCCGCGUGAAUGAUGAAGGUCUUAGGAUUGUAAAAUUCUUUCACCGGGGACGAUAAUGACGGUACCCGGAGAAGAAGCCCCGGCUAACUUCGUG
rnacentral:rRNA from 1 species